ensembl:snRNA U6 U6 spliceosomal RNA
GUGCUCACUUCGGCAGCACAUACACUAAAAUUGGAACCAUAGAGAGAGGAUUAGCAAGAAACCUG